rnacentral:rRNA from 1 species
UACGUAGGGUGCAAGCGUUAAUCGGAAUUACUGGGCGUAAAGCGUGCGCAGGCGGUUCUAUAAGACAGGUGUGAAAUCCCCGGGCUUAACCUGGGAAUUGCAUUUGUGACUGUAGGACUAGAGUGUGUCAGAGGGGGUGGAAUUCCACGUGUAGCAGUGAAAUGCGUAGAUAUGUGGAGGAACACCAAUGGCGAAGGCAGCCCCCUGGGAUAACACUGACGCUCAUGCACGAAAGCGUGGGGAGCAAACAGG